rnacentral:rRNA from 1 species
GAUGAACGCUGGCGGCGUGCCUAAUACAUGCAAGUCGAGCGAACAGACGAGGAGCUUGCUCCUCUGACGUUAGCGGCGGACGGGUGAGUAACAUGUGGAUAACCUACCUAUAAGACUGGGAUAACUUCGGGAAACCGGAGCUAAUACCGGAUAAUAUAUUUAACCGCAUGGUUCAAUAGUGAAAGACGGUUUUGCUGUCACUUAUAGAUGGAUCCGCGCCGCAUUAGCUAGUUGGUAAGGUAACGGCUUACCAAGGCAACGAUGCGUAGCCGACCUGAGAGGGUGAUCGGCCACACUGGAACUGAGACACGGUCCAGACUCCUACGGGAGGCAGCAGUAGGGAAUCUUCCGCAAUGGGCGAAAGCCUGACGGAGCAACGCCGCGUGAGUGAUGAAGGUCUUCGGAUCGUAAAACUCUGUUAUUAGGGAAGAACAAAUGUGUAAGUAACUAUGCACGUCUUGACGGUACCUAAUCAGAAAGCCACGGCUAACUACGUG